rnacentral:rRNA from 1 species
GAAAGUAAAAAAGGGCGUAUGGGGAAUGCCUAGGCUCUUGGAGGCGAAGAAAGACGUGGUAAGCUGCGAAAAGCCUCGGGGAUUUGCAAACAAGAUUUGAUCCGAGGAUCUCUGAAUGGGACAACCCGGCAGGUAGAAGACCUGUCAUCCGGCAACGGAAGCCAACCCUCUGAACUGAAACAUCUUAGUAGGAGGAGGAAAAGAAAGAAACAUCGAUUUCCUAAGUAGCGGCGAGCGAACGGGAAGCAGCCCAAACCGUAUCUGUUACGGCAGGUGCGGGGUUAUAGGACUGCAAUAUUCAAGCAACGAUGAACUGGAACGGACUGGAAAGUUCGGCCAAAGAGGGUGAAAGCCCCGUACAGGUAAGUUUGUUGUGCGAUAGCAGUAUCCUGAGUAUGGCGGGACACGAGGAAUCCUGUCAGAAUUUGCCGGGACCACCCGGUAAGGCUAAAUACUCCCAAGAGACCGAUAGUGAACCAGUACCGUGAGGGAAAGGUGAAAAGUACCCCGAACAGGGGAGUGAAAUAGAACCUGAAACCAUACGCUUACAACCGGUCGGAGCGGCUUCGUGCCGUGACGGCGUGCCUAUUGAAUAAUGAGCCUACGAGUUACUAAUCACUGGCGAGGUUAAGUGCUAGGAAGCACGGAGCCGAAGCGAAAGCGAGUCUGAACAGGGCGGCCAGUCAGUGGUUGUAGACGCGAAACCUUGCGAUCUACCCUUGAGCAGGAUGAAGGUUGGGUAACACCAACUGGAGGUCCGAACGAAUAAGCGUUGAAAAGCUUCUCGAUGACUUGAGGGUAGGGGUGAAAGGCUAAUCAAGCUGGGAAAUAGCUCGUACUCCCCGAAAUGCCUUUAGGGGCAGCGUUGUAAUAAAGAGUCUACUGGAGGUAGAGCUACUGAUUGGAUGCGGGGGCUUCACCGCCUACCAAAUCCUGACAAACUCCGAAUGCCAGUAGUAUGAUUUACAGCAGUGAGCGGCCGGGUGCUAAUGUCCGGUCACAAAAGAGGAACAACUCAGACCAGCAACUAAGGUCCCCAAGAAUAUGCUAAGUUGAUCUAACGAUGUUUUGUUGCAGAGACAGCUAGGAUGUUAGCUUGGAAGCAGCUAUUCAUUCAAAGAGUGCGUAACAGCUCACUAGUCGAGCGACAGAGCGUGGAUAAUAAACGGGCAUCAAGCAUAUCACCGAAGUUCUGGACGCGAAAGCGUGGUAGGGGAGCAUUCCAUCGACGUUGAAGCCGAUCCGUGAGGAUUGGUGGAGUUUAUGGAAAAGCAAAUGUAGGCAUAAGUAACGAUAAUGCGGGAGAGUAACCCGCACACCGCAAGACCAAGGUUUCCUGAUCAACGCUAAUCGGAUCAGGGUUAGUCGGGUCCUAAGGGUAAGCCGAACGGUGAUCUCGAUGGACAAUCGGUUAAUAUUCCGAUACUAACAUACACCUCGAUGGAGAGACGAAGGAACGUAAGUGUCGCCACCUGACGGAAUAGGUGGUUAAAGGGCGUAGGUAAAGGAGCAGAUUAAGAGUUAGCUACUGCUGAGACCCGACAGUACGGAGCGGCUACGGCCAAUCCGAUAGUGCACCCAAGUAGACUUCCGAGAAAAUCUUCUAAGUUACAGUGUAUGUUACCCGUACCGUAAACCGACACAGGUGGUCGAGGAGAGUAUCCUAAGGUGCUCGAGUGAAUCACGGUUAAGGAACUAGGCAAAUUAACCCCGUAACUUCGGGAAAAGGGGUCCCUAUGAAAGUAGGGCGCAGCGAAAAGGUCCAGGCGACUGUUUAUCAAAAACACAGGGCUCUGCAAAUUCGAAAGAAGACGUAUAGGGCCUGACACCUGCCCGGUGCUGGAAGGUUAAGAGGGGAUGUCAUCGCAAGAGAAGCAUUGAAUCGAAGCCCCAGUAAACGGCGGCCGUAACUAUAACGGUCCUAAGGUAGCGAAAUUCCUUGUCGGGUAAGUUCCGACCUGCACGAAUGGUGUAACGAUCUGGACACUGUCUCAAC